rnacentral:rRNA from 1 species
UACGUAGGGUGCGAGCGUUGUCCGGAAUUAUUGGGCGUAAAGGGCUCGUAGGCGGUUUGUCGCGUCGGGAGUGAAAUCCACUGGCUUAACUGGUGGCUUGCUUUCGAUACGGGCAGACUGGAGGUAUGCAGGGGAGAACGGAAUUCCUGGUGUAGCGGUGAAAUGCGCAGAUAUCAGGAGGAACACCGGUGGCGAAGCCGGUUCUCUGGGCAUGUCCUGACGCUGAGGAGCGAAAGUGUGGGGAGCGAACAGG